rnacentral:rRNA from 1 species
UACGAAGGGGGCUAGCGUUGCUCGGAAUCACUGGGCGUAAAGGGUGCGUAGGCGGGUUUUUAAGUCAGGGGUGAAAUCCUGGAGCUCAACUCCAGAACUGCCUUUGAUACUGAAGAUCUUGAGUCCGGGAGAGGUGAGUGGAACUGCGAGUGUAGAGGUGAAAUUCGUAGAUAUUCGCAAGAACACCAGUGGCGAAGGCGGCUCACUGGCCCGGUACUGACGCUGAGGCACGAAAGCGAUGGGGAGCAAAC